UUAUUUUGUUAUGGAGUUUGUCAAAGGUGGAGAGUUGUUUGCCAAAGUCGCUAAAGGACGCUUCAGUGAGGAUCUCAGCCGUAAAUAUUUUCAGCAGUUGAUCUCCGCCGUCGGUUAUUGCCACGCUCGCGGCGUCUUUCAUCGAGAUUUGAAGCCUGAAAAUCUUCUCCUCGACGAAAAUGGGAAUUUGAAGGUUUCGGAUUUCGGACUCAGUGCUGUAACUGAUCAGAUCCCACCCGAUGGACUUUUGCAUACUCUUUGUGGGACUCCGGCAUAUGUUGCGCCUGAGAUUUUAGCGAAGAAAGGUUAUGAUGGUGCUAAGGUGGAUGUAUGGUCAUGCGGUGUCAUUUUGUUUGUUUUAACGGCCGGUUAUUUGCCGUUUAACGAUCCGAAUCUCAUGGUCAUGUAUAAGAAAAUCUACAAGGGCGAAUUUCGGUGUCCGAAAUGCAUGUCUCAGGAUCUGAAACGGUUGUUAUCUCGGCUUCUCGACACGAAUCCCCAGACGAGAAUAACGGUCGAUGAGAUCUUGAGAGACCCAUGGUUUAGGAGAGGAGGAUUCAAGGAAAUCAAGUUCUACGAUGAGUAUUAUUGCGGACUUGACGAUACCGAUGAGGCCGAUAAACAAGAACCGGAUAUCACGAAUUUGAACGCAUUCGACAUCAUUUCGUUCUCGUCCGGUUUGGAUUUGUCCGGGUUGUUCGAUGACUCGUACAACGCGGUGGAGGACGGCGAGCGGUUCGUGUCUUCUGAGUCACCAGAAAAAUUGGUCCAGAAAAUCGAGGAGUUUGCCAAGGCCGAGAGGCUGAGGACUAAGAGAAAGAAAGAGUGGGCCUUCGAGAUUGAAGGGCGAAAUGGUAAUUUGGCUCUGGAGGUUGAAGUUUACCGGUUAACGGACGAUCUGGUAGUUGUGGAGGCUAGAAGGAGAGGUGGUGAAGCUGGAUGCUUU
rnacentral:misc_RNA from 1 species